UUAAAAGGCGAUUCGUCCGGUUCCAGUUCGUUCACCUUUAAUGAUGACAGUAGACAGAUGACCACCUCCGACAUUGCUGCUUCGGAGAACUAUUCUAUUUUUGCAUUUCAAUGAAAAACGAACAACAUACAGUGAAUGUUAUCAAGAAUUCAUAUUGAAGAUCGUUGGGAGUAUCCAGUUUAAAGAAUCAUCAUUCCCAGUUGAAAAAGGAAGAAUCCACUACAAAAGUUUGAACUGCUGAAACGUCGAGACCAUUUCCGUGACGUCAGAAAAACAAUAAAAUGGUGAAAAAACGACGCUUCGUCUAUGGAGUAGGGCGCAAACUUUUCUAUUAUGCAAUUUAUCGAAAUUGAAAUCGGAACUUGGUUAUACGAGGAUUGUCUGCGUAAGUUGUGAAAGCAAAGUAGCAAUACUUUGAGACGCAUUGCAACUUGAACGGAAAACCCCCCGGAAAAUCAAUAACUCGCAAGAAGCAAGCUGAUAUCGUGAAUUUGCAAUUUUAAGCUUUGCCAUUUAUGAAUAAUAGCUGCAUUUUCACGUAAGUCUAUAGACAUUUGGUUUUGACUGACGGUUUUCAAGCUGAACGCAAACCAGGAUUCCCUUCACUUUAAAGCCAUAGUGAAUGUUUUAUCAAGCACGACCUAGCGAGAGAUGGAUUCUAACAUCCUAAAAAACAACAACAGCAUUUUGGCGUGAACUCGUGAAAACCUUUUUGCCACAUCCAUGAAAAUGUCGGAUUUUAAUCCGAUCAGCUGAGUAUUUAAUCCCAGACAAAUGUUUCAAUUUUAAAACACAGCGGCUGUUAGAUGCAUCUUUGAAGGACUGUUAUUGUACAGCUCUAAUGCCCCGUCUAUGACAUUGGACAGAUUGCUUGAUGCCAACGAAUCGCGAACGAACGACGUCUUCUCUAUCCAAGAACAAGUAAAAAUUUGCAUGCUGUCCAACUUCAACAAUGUCAUCGGCAACGCUUGACAGUCUGGAGAAGAGCUUUUCUAACCGCCAAUCAACCUAUUAUUCCGGUUGUCUCCGGAAUUGCUUUUAACGGGAUGUCCUGAAGCGGUUGACAGAUGAAAAGUUUGGUCAUGAUGAUAAUUGAUUGCUAAUAAGGUCUAUGAGCAAAAACAUGUAUGAUGCCUGGUGCAACAGCUGCCUCAUUAACCGUUUUUUUGUUUGCCUCAUGAUAUUGUCUUAUUCUACAGGUUUUUCUGGUUCGGUGCUUUUUUUUUCUUCUCAUGUGCAGCUCCGUGAUAUUCUCAUUUCGCUAGCAUUAUUUUAUGGAAUGGGUCCUUUGCCUAUCUAUAGGGCUACAUCAAUUAAUGCUAGACUACUCUCAUGUAAGUACCUCGAAAUAGCUGGGCAGAUAGUCCUAAUCAACACAAAUUGCUUCAGAGGAAGAAAUCUUAGAAAAAGCCGACAAAUUAAUUUUUUAUUUGCUUAAUGAUUCAGUACGACGUACGAAACCAAGAGCGAAAUAAUGAAUGAUGAAAUCUUGGUGUCCUUUAGUUUAGCAGGUAACCGAUAGGUGCAACAUGGUGACGGAUCUACGCUGUCAAAAAUCGCGAGUUUUGCUCUUUACGACGAGUUCGUCCGUGGACAAACAUCACAAUUAAAAACACAUCUUUCUAAUUUGGAGGAUUUUGUUUUUCUACCACUUUUGUGGUGACACAUUCAAUGCCGAAAAUCUACUGAAUCGCCAGCUGAUUGAGGCCAUGGAACUGCCGCUUCAAUUGUUGUUGUUGAUGAACCUCGAAAGUGGGAAAAUCUAUUUUCUUCUUUCCUAGAAAUCGACUGAACAGUAGCCUAAAAUUAGUUACCACAAACGCAGAAGGAAAGAGAAAGAAAAGCGUCGCUGUAAAUUGGACAACUACAAACUUUAUGCCCAAGUCCUAUGAACUUCAACGUACUUUUGAUCUCGUUGCAUGUUCCUGUGUGAUAAAAUUAGACUUGAAACGACCCUUACGCCCCAUGAAUUCUUCGAAAUAUGUGACCUUUUAGAUGCAGUGUCAACCACCCCAUUUUUUGUUUAUUCAGGUAAAAACGACCUUGCUGAUUUGGUAAUCGCAAGUUGCAGUAAAAUCAACGUCUUUUCAACGUGUCGGUAGAGGGCUCUGCGUCAAAUACCAGCAACACAGUCCAAUGGAGUUCGUUUUGUAAUAAGGUGUGAUCCGCAGUUUUUGUAGUGCAGUUGAUUGCAAUUGCACUGUAAACCCUAAACAAAAUUUUCAAUGGAAGUUGUUGGUUGCAAACGAUCGUCACACGGACGUUUGUUCAUCUGUUGCAACAAUCAUUUUGACUACUACCAGCUUGUUUUUAUUUUGAUCUGAUUCGUAAACUGUCUUGAUCGGCUGUCAAUAAUUUUGC